rnacentral:rRNA from 1 species
UACGUAGGGUGCAAGCGUUAAUCGGAAUUACUGGGCGUAAAGCGUGCGCAGGCGGUUGUGCAAGACCGAUGUGAAAUCCCCGGGCUUAACCUGGGAAUGGCAUUUGGGACUGCAAGGCUUGAGUGCGGCAGAGGAGACUGGAAUUCCUGGUGUAGCAGUGAAAUGCGUAGAUAUCAGGAGGAAUACCGAUGGCGAAGGCAGGUCUCUGGGCUGACACUGACGCUCAUGCACGAAAGCGUGGGGAGCAAACAGG